CCUACGGGAGGCAGCAGUGAGGAAUAUUGGUCAAUGGACGAGAGUCUGAACCAGCCAAGUAGCGUGAAGGAUGACUGCCCUAUGGGUUGUAAACUUCUUUUAUAUGGGAAUAAAACGUUCCACGUGUGGGAUUUUGUAUGUACCAUAUGAAUAAGGAUCGGCUAACUCCGUGCCAGCAGCCGCGGUAAUACGGAGGAUCCGAGCGUUAUCCGGAUUUAUUGGGUUUAAAGGGAGCGUAGGUGGAUUGUUAAGUCAGUUGUGAAAGUUUGCGGCUCAACCGUAAAAUUGCAGUUGAAACUGGCAGUCUUGAGUACAGUAGAGGUAGGCGGAAUCCGUGGUGUAGCGGUGAAAUGCUUAGAUAUCACGAAGAACUCCGAUUGCGAAGGCAGUUCACUGGACUGCAACUGACACUGAGGCUCGAAAGUGUGGGUAUCAAACAGGAUUAGAUACCCCAGUAGUC
rnacentral:rRNA from 1 species